UCCGUAGGUGAACCUGCGGAAGGAUCAUUACCGAGGUUUAUAUUUUCCUGGCGCAAGCUGGGAGAGGACCCGACCUAUUGUCAUUUGCACGUCGAGGAGGAACGGUGGUUUUGCGUGGCGUUUUGUGGCCUGCGAUGGAUCUAUCCGAGAGGGUGGAUUCCGGAACGGCCCGCGCUGCCGGUUGCCGCCUCGACGAACCUGAACUUCGGCGGAAGAGGUAGACUCGAUCUGCCCGCCGCCGGCCGUAACUGUUUUUACUCUACAAUGGAGAAUCUGAAGCCUGAUGUACAAAAAACAAAAAUGAAAAGCAAAACUUUCAACAACGGAUCUCUUGGCUCUGGCAACGAUGAAGAACGCAGCGAAACGCGAAAGGUAAUGCGAAUUGCAGAAUCAGUGAGUCAUCGAAUCUUUGAACGCACAUUGCGCCUCUCGGUAUUCCGGGAGGCACGCCUGUUCGAGCGCCAUUACACACCCAAGCCUGGCUUGAUGUUGGACGCUGUCUGUCACAGGACACGUCUGAACGCGUGGGCGCCGCCGCCGGGGACCACGGAGGCGGUAGGCAAGGACCGGCAAGGUCAUCGGCUCUGGUGGGAUUUCUGGGGGUGGGGGACGGGGGUGGGGGUCUUUGGAUGGGCCGGGGGGGUAACAGGGCGGGGACAU
rnacentral:rRNA from 1 species